UACGUAGGGGGGCUAGCGUUGUCCGGAAUCAUUGGGCGUAAAGAGCGUGUAGGCGGUCCGGUAAGUCCGCUGUGAAAGUCGGGGGCUCAACCCUCGAAUGCCGGUGGAUACUGUCGGGCUCGAGUACGGAAGAGGCGAGUGGAAUUCCUGGUGUAGCGGUGAAAUGCGCAGAUAUCAGGAGGAACACCGGUGGCGAAGGCGGAUCUCUGGGCCAUUACUGACGCUGAGGAGCGAAAGCGUGGGGAGCGAACAGG
rnacentral:rRNA from 1 species